CCGCGAAGGCAAAGCCGACGGCGCGGCGCUGAGCGCGGGGAGCCGGGGCGCUCAGGGCCGGCCUCCCCACGCCCCCGGCGGCCCCGGCCGGGGCCUCUCGCGGUUUGCUCGCCUGUUUCCCCGCGGAACCGGAGCCGCCUCCUCGCACGGCCCUUGCUGGGCUGGUUCUCCACAGCUGUAGGAAGCGUCGCUCAAACCGUGCGGCACAGUCGCGUUGCACAGGGGCCACAGGUGCUGGUAUAAAAGAUGAGGCUGAAUGAGAGCCGAACAAGAUCCUUUCAGGCUCCUGUCACCAUCCACAAUUACCCAGGCAACCAGGUAUACGUGUUUCAAAAUGGCCACUCGGACACAGAAGAGUCGUCAGAGGAAGAACUUAACGUUACAGAGCUGCGACCCAGGGGCAAAGAGCAGCAGCGGUGCAGCGCUGCCCGGGACAAAGUCGGAGAUGUGGUGCUUCUGGAACGGGAGAUCACGCAGGACGACAAUCUUAACAAGCUAGCCCUGCAGUAUGGUUGUAAAGUCGCAGAUAUCAAACGUGUCAACAACUUCAUCAGGGAGCAGGAUUUGUAUGCGUUGAAGUCCAUCAAGAUCCCCGUGAAGACCCACGGGCUGUUAACAGAAAACAGCCAAGAAUUAAGGCCUCCCCAGACUGCGCGCUCCCAGGCUGGCCUGACGCUUGUGGACAUACCUGAGUCUGAUGAUGGUGCUGCAGCCAGCAGCUGUACUGAAAGCAGAUACCUGAAUGACUACUUUAAGGGGAUUGACAAGAGUAUUCAGGAUGCAGUACAGGCAGAAGUCCAGCUAAGUGCAGAGUAUUGCAUAGAAGCACUGGAGAGGCCGUUGCUCAAGUCGGGGAAGCAGGAGACCAGUCAUGGUGCGGACUGUGGAAUCCAGUGGUGGAAUGCAGUUUUCAUUAUGCUUCUGAUAGGAAUUGUCCUGCCAGUAUUUUAUAUCACCUAUUUUAAAACACAAGAGAAUGGCACAACAGCCCAUACCUCCAACACAACACUAACCUCAAAUAUUUCAGCAGAUGGAUUAGAAGGGAAAUUGCCACAAAACUUAGUUGUAGAAAAAAUCCCCAAGGGGGGAUCAAGCCAAGUAGAGCCUCCCCUCCCAGUACUGAAGUCCAUAAACCAGUGACUCUGGCUGUAGUGGAGUCGGGGGAUAAUGAUACAGUAGAUUUGACUUUCUUUUUUUUUUUUUGUUGUUUUUUAAAGUAGAUGAUGUAAUCCUGAACUUGACUGAACCUGAGGUGAUAUGACUUUAUGGAAGAAUAAGGAUGCUUUGUUGCUUACAAAGAUCAACAGAGAGCUGGUUUUGCAUUCAUGAACUCUGUCGAGGGAAAAUAUUUUGCAGCAGUUUAUUCUCCUGUUUGCUUCAGGUAUUUCUUAAGAAUGGUCUUGCCUAAGAAUCUGAACCCUUUGCUGCUGUGUUAAAGAAUACAGUAUUCAUGUGAUGGGGAAGUUAUGGGCUGUGUGCACUUUGAGAAAAUACUUUUUGCAUAAAGUGAAAAGCAGGGACUUUUUCUUCUCUGAAUUGACGUUUUUAUCUUUGGUACACCGUGGCAGUCUUGGCAUACUUAGCCUCGAAAAGGUGACUUCUAGGUUGUUAGACUAGGUGCACCAUGCUAGUAUUAAAACAGCACGAGGAAGCUGACGUACAUUCACCGUUUCAUCCUUUUGAGUGCGUGUUUAAGCUGUGUUUAUUAAUCAGGAUGAUUCCAGCUUACUAGUGAGUUGGGUGUUAACCAGACAUUUUUUUUCUAGGUGAAAUUCUUCAGCAAGUUCUCUUGAAAUCAAGUAUUUGCAGACAAAACUUGUCGGUGCAGAAUCUAUGCUUCUGCCAGAUGACUGCUCCUGGUAGAGUAGUGGCUGUGAGGGACAGCAGAUGUCACAACAGUAUUAGAGGAUGAUUCGCUGAGGACAGUGUUCGGCCUGUGGUGUGCAGUCCGCGGGAGCUGCAUAGCAGUCCUUAAAAAGAUCAGUGUCCUACAACAGCUCAACUUGGCCCUAGAAGAGCAAGAACAUUUUCUGUAGCGGGUUUGUGUCUCACCACACACAGAGUUCUCCUGCCGUGGGAAGCGGGGCUGGUGGUGGUGGUGGUGGUGGUGGUGGGUCUAGUUCCUUAUUUCUAGUCGCAGCCGCCUCGCCGGGCACCAGGCUUCGGCGCUGCCGGGGGACGUGGUGUCGGGAACAGCAGCGCCAGGAGCUGAGGGGCAGAGGAUGAACCUCCAGAGGCAGCAAGGAGAACCGCGAAGGCUGGUCCUGGAGGGGGCAGGGGAGCUACCAGCAGUAAGAUCUGUAUCUUUUCAGUGUGGUUCCCAGCAGGAAGGAAUAGUUCACAUGUGCAGGAGGAUGAGAGACAGAGCAAGGAUCUGAAAACAUUAGAUUUCUACAAGAUAUGUCAGGACAGUUCGUUUUGAAAACACAAAACUGAAGAGGCAGCACUGCAAGUUUAUGUCACCCAUGUGUCCAUCCUCAUUCGUUUUACUGAUGGACUCUCUCUAUCUUCUGAAUUUGGUGGCCUUCCCAGCACAACAGGUGAAUGGAAAUCACUUCUGGGGUCUUCCCGAUCACUGCCGUCGUAGGAACUGCUGGAGCUGCUGAGGCUGUCGACAGGAGAGCGACCCAUCUCCUGCCGUGACUGCUGCUGCUGCUGCUGCGGCGGCGGUGGUGGUGGUUGCUGCUGCUGCGGUGGCGGCGGCGGCUGCUGCUGCUGCUGUUGUUGUGGGAACCCGGAGGGAGUUACACGGUCCCGGGGAGGUGAAAUUGGUUCAGAUUUUAUGUUGAUGUUUUGGUUGGUAUUAAUGGAUAAAUUUGAACCCUGAGAUAGCUGGCUGCCGCUA